rnacentral:rRNA from 1 species
CAGUAGCCGCGGUAAUACGUAGGGUGCAAGCGUUAAUCGGAAUUACUGGGCGUAAAGCGUGCGCAGGCGGUUAUAUAAGUCAGAUGUGAAAUCCCCGGGCUCAACCUGGGAACUGCAUUUGAGACUGUAUAGCUAGAGUGUGUCAGAGGGGGGUAGAAUUCCACGUGUAGCAGUGAAAUGCGUAGAUAUGUGGAGGAAUACCGAUGGCGAAGGCAGUCCCCUGGGAUAACACUGACGCUCAUGCACGAAAGCGUGGGGAGCAAACAGGAUUAGAUACCCCCGUAGUCCCUGUCUCUUAUAC